UGCAUGUCUAAGUACAUACCUUUGCACGGUGAAACCGCGAAUGGCUCAUUAAAUCAGUUAUGGUUCCUUAGAUCGUUCUUUUUACAUGGAUAACUGUGGUAAUUCUAGAGCUAAUACAUGCAAAAAGCUCCGACCGUAUGGGAAGAGCGCUUUUAUUAGACCAAAACCAAUGGGGUCGCAAGAUCCCUUUGUCUGGUGACUCUGGAUAACUUUGUGCUGAUCGCAUGGCCUUGAGCCGGCGACGUAUCUUUCAAGUGUCUGCCCUAUCAACUUUCGAUGGUAAGCGAUUUGCCUACCAUGGUUGUAACGGGUAACGGGGAAUCAGGGUUCGAUUCCGGAGAGGGAGCAUGAGAAAUGGCUACCACAUCUACGGAAGGCAGCAGGCGCGCAAAUUACCCACUCCUAGAACGGGGAGGUAGUGACGAAAAAUAACAAUACCGGACUCAAUGAGGCUCGGUAAUUGAAAUGAGUACAGUUUAAAACCCUUAACGAGGAUCUAUUGGAGGGCAAGUCUGGUGCCAGCAGCCGC
rnacentral:rRNA from 1 species